UACGUAGGGGGCUAGCGUUGUCCGGAUUUAUUGGGCGUAAAGAGCGUGUAGGCGGCUUGGUAGGUCCGUUGUGAAAACUCGAGGCUUAACCUCGAGACGUCGAUGGAAACCACCUGGCUAGAGUCCGGAAGAGGAGAGUGGAAUUCCUGGUGUAGCGGUGAAAUGCGUAGAGAUCUGGAAGAACACCAAAGGCGAAGGCAGCGUUCUGGGAAGCAACUGACGCUCAUGUGCGAAAGCUAGGGGAGCGAACGGG
rnacentral:rRNA from 1 species